GAUCCUGGCUCAGAUUGAACGCUGGCGGAAUGCUUUACACAUGCAAGUCGAACGGUAGAGGGGGCAACCCUUGAGAGUGGCGAACGGGUGAGUAAUAUAUCGGAACGUGCCCAGUCGUGGGGGAUAACGUAGCGAAAGUUACGCUAAUACCGCAUACGAUCUAAGGAUGAAAGCGGGGGAUCGCAAGACCUCGCGCGAUUGGAGCGGCCGAUAUCAGAUUAGGUAGUUGGUGAGGUAAAGGCUCACCAAGCCGACGAUCUGUAGCUGGUCUGAGAGGACGACCAGCCACACUGGGACUGAGACACGGCCCAGACUCCUACGGGAGGCAGCAGUGGGGAAUUUUGGACAAUGGGCGCAAGCCUGAUCCAGCAAUGCCGCGUGCAGGAUGAAGGCCUUCGGGUUGUAAACUGCUUUGUACGGAACGAAACGGUGAGCUCUAAUACAGUUUGCUAAUGACGGUACCGUAAGAAUAAGCACCGGCUAACUACGUG
rnacentral:rRNA from 1 species